UUAUUCAUCUUUAAUAGGUUUAAAGCGUACCUAGACGGUAAUUAAAGCCUAUAUCAGGAACUUGUUUACUAGAGUUAAAUGUAAGGGUGUAUUAAAGUACUGUUGAGUGUAGAGAUGAAAUUCGUUGAUACCAAAUAAUUGGCACAGGUAUAGGCGAAAGCAUCACUUUAUGUAAUAACUGACGUUGACGGACGAAGGCUUUGUGUCGCGAACAGGAUUAGAUACCCCAGUAGUCUUAGCAGAAAACUAUGAGUGUCAUAGGUUAGAUUUUAUUUGGUCUAUAAAUGAAAGUGUAAGCACUCCACCUCAAGAGUAAUUUGGCAACAUUGGAACUGAAAUCAUUAGACCGUUUCUGAAACCAGUAGUGAAGUAUGUUGUUUAAUUUGAUAAUCCGCAAAGAACCUUACCACAAUUUGAAUAUAAAUGAUUUAUUUUUACAAGCGUUGCACGGCUGUCUUCAGUUAAUGUCGUGAGAUAUUGGUUUAUUCCAUUAAAUUAACGUAAACCCGUACUUUAUUUUUAUAUAAAGUUGUUCAUUCGCUAUAAUGGAU
rnacentral:rRNA from 1 species